AUGGGGGUCUCAGGAUCCCACAGAAGUUGGUGUAGACGAUCCUGGAAAAGAAGGAGGCCUAGAAGAGUGGGACUCGACCACGGCUUUCCUUUCUAUGCAGGGCGUCUGAACAGUGGCGCUGCCUCUGAUUUCCGGAAUCUCCUAGGACUUCUCAGCUCUGGAAAACAGUUCCGUCAUUCAUUGCUUUUUCUCUCUGUUUCCGUCACAGAACCGUCCACCUUGCCAAGCUUGUUCUCCCGUUUUGAGACCAGCAGCGGCGAGAGGAAGACUCCCGAGGCUGCCUGGCACAGAGACGCAGAGCAAUGGCGGCUAGGUGGAGUCGAGGACGAGUCAGUAGUUUCCCCGUACCCGGAAUCAUUCGGGGAGACUCAGGACCUGCUGGAGUAUGUCAACUGGUUUGCACAGUUCCUGGCUGAGGAAGAGGGCACAAGCACAGGACCUUCCACCUCAACUGGUCCGGCUUCUCCCUCCCCACAUCUGCAACACAGAUCACCAUCAACAAGAGCAGCACUAGAGGAGGUGGAGCGAAUCAUUCAAGAGCUCAGGGCUAAAGAUGAAUCUUGCCGGGCCGUCCCUUCCGAUGUAUUGGAAUAUGACUCUGGGAGCCCCGACACAAGAUGUGAGGCGGCCCAGGCCACAUCAGGACGCUCCAGCUCGUUUGGACUGCCUUCUGCCACCUCAGCUCCGCAGCGGAUACUGUCGUCACUGGCAGAGGCCCAAGAAGACUUGGAGCAAGUCAUUGAAGAGCUCAUAGCUAAAGAUGAGUCCAGUUGGGCCCUCCCUCGUGAUAUAUUGGAUUAUCUCUCUGAAGGAUACCACCCGCCAAGCGCCUUUGGGUGUGCCCAAUCAGGUACAUCCAAUUUCGGGUGAAUCCGCCGCCACCGCCACAGGUUACAUUCGGGCGUGACCGUCGAGACACCGUAUUGCAGCUGGCUGGGACCGCCAAGACUCGUAUUCCCAGAGCCCAUUGUUCGACACUCGGAAUGGGUCUGAAUUUCCCUUCACAUCUCUUUCUGGGUACGGGAGAUUGUGAAUGACUGGGGGAGCAGAAAAAAUAAUGGGAAAGGAGAUGUGAUCACAGAAGGGCUUUAAAGACAGGGAGAACUGUGGGCUGGCAGAAGUGAAGAGAAAGGGAGUUCCCGAGUAGGGAGAAGAGAAUAAACUGGGAGAAAUGACAAUGGGGUAGGUUAGCUUCAGAGGAAUGUAAAAUCCUAGCUCAUGUGCAGUGGGAGAAGAGGACGGGUAAAGGGGAAAGACUUUAAAUCCUAUGGUCGGGAGUUUCUGCCUGAUACGAAGAAUAUAACCAGAAGUUUUUGAGAAGUGAGGAGAUGUUCGCGGAAAAAACGUUAGAGAAAAAUGAAACGGGCAGCAGAGUGAAAUAUGGACUUUAGAGAGGUGAGGUUGAAGGCAGGGAGAUAAGAGAGGAAGCUGAUGCACAGGUCCAGGCAGAAUACAGUCCAGAACUCCCUCAAACUGGAAUUCUUUGACCUCUCCAUCUCCUCCACUAGAUUGGAAGCUUCUUGAGGGUAGGGACCAUGUCUACUAACUCCAUUGGUCUCUCCUAAGUGCUUAGUAAAUGUGUUCUGCCCACAGAAGGUACUCGGUAAAUAUUAUUAGAUUGAAAGGCCUCUGAUGGCAGCGAUUGCAUCUUUUAAUUCUACUGUCUUCUCCCAACUCCUCAGUACGGUGCUCAGCCCAUAGUAGACAUUCGAUCAAUACGAUUAGGUUCUUCCAAGACGAGAAGCAUGACUAACGACUCAGUUGCAAUAAUAAUAAUGAUGGUAUUUGUUAAGAGCUUACUAUGAGCCAAGCACUGUUGUAGUUAUAGUCUCCCAAGUGCUUAGUACAGAAGGCUCAACCAGAGAAGGUGCUCAAUAAAACUGACGAAGCUCUAUCCUACUAAUCAGCAUGAAGCAGCAUGGCCUAGUGGAUAGAGCCUGGGCUUGGGAGGCAGAGAUCAUGGAUUCUAAUCCCGGCUCCACCAUUUGUCAGCUGUGUGACUACUUCGGGCAACUCAUUUAACUUCUCUGUGCCUCAGUUACCUCAUCUGUAAAAUAGGGAUCAAGAUUGUGAGCCCCACGUGGGACAAGGGACUGUAUCCCACCCAAUAUACUGGAAACUCACCUCCUCCAGGAGGCCUUCCCAGACUGAGCCCCCCUUUUCCUCUGCUCCUACUCCCCACCCCAUGGCUCCUACUCCCUCCCUAGCCCACAGCACUGUGUGAAUAUGUACAUAUUUAUUAUUCUAUUUAUUUUAUUAAUGAUGUGGAUAUAUGUAUAAUUCUAUUUACUUAUAUGGAUCCUAUUGAUGCUUGUCCACUUGUUGUGUUUUGUUGUCUGUCUCCCUCCUUCUAGACUGUGAGCCAGUUGUUGGGUAGGGAUUGUCCCUAUCUUUUGCCAAAGUGUACUUUCCAAUCGCUUAGUACAAUGCUCUGCCCCCAGUAAGUGCUCAAUUAAUACGAUUGAAUGAAUGAAUGUAUCCACCCCAGUGCUUAGGACAGUGCCUGGCACAAAGUAAGUGCUUAACGACUACAAUGAUAAUAAUUAUUAUUGUUACGGUUACUAUAAUUGCUAGCCAUUUCUGAAGUAAUUGUAAUUGAAGUAAAGUAAUUGAAGUAAAUAACGAUGGAUAUGACAGAUUGUUCAGAAAUGCAUGGUAUGUGGGAAUCUUUAUUCGUUAAUUUUAAACCCAUUGUCAAUAUAUGGCCAUUAUCUCUUUAAUGUAGACAGAUUCAAUCGUAUUUAUUGAGUGCUUACUGUUUGCAGAGCACUGUACUAAGCACUUGGACAUAUAGAUGUAUAGAUGUGAGCAGCAGAGUGGCUUAGUGGAAAGAACACGGGCCUGGAAAUCAGGGGGCCUGGGUUCUAAUCCCAGAUUUGCCCCAUGUCUGCUGUUUGUCCAUGGUAAGUUGCUUCACUUCUCUGUGCCUCAGUUACCUCAACGUUAAAGUGAGAAUUAAGACUGUGAACCCCCUAUGGGACAGGGACUGCAUGUGACCUGGUGCCUCAUAUCUACCCCAGGGCUCAGAACACUAGGCGCUUAAUGAAUCCCACAGUUAAUAUUCCUACAUAACGAUAAAAUGAUUCGAUGAACUUUCUCUCGAUUUUGCCUUCCCUUCCUCCUCUCCCCAGCCCCAGUUAUCUCCGAAGGAGCCCCGCUCU
rnacentral:lncRNA from 1 species